GGGCCGUGUUUGCUGAGCUGAUGUGCCCGGCUGAUACAGAUAGCGGCGGCGAGCCGCCCGCUUCUGUGGAAAAAGACUAUUUUAAGUGUCAUAAUUAAGUUUAGGAGCCUUGUUUGGGCUCAUUCACUGCUCGAAAUAAAAAGGACUGGCUGCUUCUAGACCCUUUCUGAAAGGGCUGGCUAAGCGCCUCUGCACGUUCGCUCGGAGAAGAAUGUUUUCUUUUCUAGUUUAAUAUUAGAAACUAUAUUUUUACUUGUUUAAACCGGAUUUGAAUUUUUUGGAGAUUUUUUUCCUCUCCCCCCCCCGCCCCCCAUCGCUCAAAUCUUUGUUCAUUGUUCAUUGACUGUGCAAGGCUGCUUAAAUGUACGGAGAGAGGGGGGAGGCCCCCUCGGUGGUUUGAUGUUGAAAUAGUAAACCUGAAUGAGGAGGGUGGCUGGAAAAGUGGACAUUGCAGCUUUAAUUAACUUCAAGAUGCUUCAGCGAGGACCAGAGCGUAGUAGUGACGUUGCCUCAUAAAUCUGUCCAGUACAGUGCGUUGCAUUGAACUAUUACAGUAUCACCAUCAUAUUGAAUAUUCACUACCUAUCCGGGAGCAGAUUUGCAUAAUUGGAUCUUUUUUAAAUGAAACUUGUUUGCAAAAACCCAAACAAAACCAAAAAAACCAAAAGCCCAAGUGAAAACCGCGGCGAUCUGCAUGGUUUUAAAGGGUUCAAACAUAUCCGAAAAGUUUUAUUUUUCCAGUUGUGA
rnacentral:lncRNA from 1 species